CUUUUCUACAACUUGGGACUCCUGGGUUCAUUGUCUGAAGUUAUGUCGCCAAUUGUGUUUGCUUGUUCAUAUAUCGCAAAUUCUCCAGCUAUUAUUUAUCCAUUUGGAAUUUCCUAAAUUACAUGGUUGAAUUUUAAAAUUCAGUCGUUGAAUAGGUAAAAAAAAUUACAACAAUUUGGUUGGUAUCUUAACAUCAUUUUCUGAAAAGCGGGUGAUUUGCAUGUUAACUGCCUUAUUCAGUUGUUUGAGCUGUCAUGGGAGUAUUAUGUGUGUUAUAUUUUAUCUUCAAUACAACGCUAAUGUGUUGGUAAAAUACAAAUUUUAUCAAAAUAUUUUUAAAUUUUUUUCUUUCUUUGGUAAUUUGUUUACAGGCUAUCGCAUGGGGUAGCACUUUUGCAAUUCAUGUCUUCACACUAAUUAUUUUCAGUUCCUUUUGGAUGAUAAAAUAUGUUUGUCAUUCAGUCUCAUAGUGCCUUCACGUGCGUACAAUUUGAUGCAAACACAAAAAAUAAAAAAUAAAAAAAAGGUGAAAAAUUGAGUGACUUAUCAUUUGGCAUUUCUCAGGUUUAUCUUAACACAAUUGUAAUGUAUAUGGCAGGAUCCAGCUUAUUGAGUUUCUGGUUUCGGACAACUUGCUAACUUGGUCAAAGGACGAAGCCUUCGACUUGAAGCUUUUGGAAGAAUGGGUGACAUCUCUUUGUCACUCUCGGAAAGUCCUGGAGCUCUUGGAGAGCAGGAAUGCACUAUACAUUCUAUAUAUGGAUCGCAUAAUCGGGGAUUUGAGUAGGCAAUUGGGUCAGGUUUCCUUUCUCCAAAAACUAAAACCAGAUAUUUUUGCUAAACUGUUUAACUAACUCUUGCAAUAUCUUCAAAUGUAAGUCGACACAUCUUGAGUACCUUUCUGUCUGUGAUGUAUCAUUGUAUUUCUUGUCAGAAAUUUGUGAAGUUUAUUGAAUGUGCAUAACUAAUUUGACCU